UAUAUAAAGAGGCGGGUGAUCAUCAAAUCAAUUUUCAACAUUACGUUACUCUUUAUGAAACAGAGAAGAACAAGCAACUGCGAGUGGUGCCCAAGCUGACAAGAGCU
rnacentral:misc_RNA from 1 species